rnacentral:piRNA from 1 species
UCGAUAAUGCCUCUCCUGGUGUGUGUGU